AUGUACAUGCCUACAACGUAGCAUUAAUGUAGAAGAUCCCAUUAGAACUCUGCAACUAAGCGCACUUAGGAUAGAGUAGUAUUGUGAUGGGUGACCACUUGGGAAGUCCUAUUGUUUUACAUU
rfam:Picea glauca, whole genome shotgun sequence.